UACGUAGGGGGCGAGCGUUGUCCGGAGUUACUGGGCGUAAAGCGCACGCAGGCGGUCUGCUAAGUUUGGAGUGACAGUUGGUCGGCUUAACUGCCAAAGUGCUUCGAAAACUGACAGACUUGAGGGCUUCAGAGGGACACGGAAUUCCGGGUGGAGUGGUGAAAUGCGUAGAGAUCCGGAGGAACACCAAAGGCGAAGGCAGUGUC
rnacentral:rRNA from 1 species